GACCCAGAACCGUGAGGAAAACGGCCCCUUGCGGAUCGGGCAAUACACCUAAAGGAG
rnacentral:ncRNA from 1 species